UGAUCCUGGCUCAGGAUGAACGCUGGCGGCGUGCUUAAUACAUGCAAGUCGAACGGACGUAGCAAUACGUUAGUGGCGACCGGGUGCGUAACACGUAGCUGAUCUGCCCCUCAGCGGGGGACAACAUGCCGAAAGGCGUGCUAAUACCGCAUGAACUAGGGGUGAUCAGAUAGCCCUUGAGAAAACUUACGACGGGCUGAGGGAGGGGACUGCGGCUCAUCAGGUAGUUGGUGGGGUAACGGCUCACCAAGCCAACGACGAGUAGGGGACCUGAGAGGGUGACCCCCCACACUGGAGCUGACACACGGUCCAGACUCCUACGGGAGGCAGCAGUAAGGAAUAUUGGGCAGUGGGCGAAAGCCUGACCCAGCAACGCCGCGUGGAGGAUGAAGGCUUUCGGGAUCGUAAACUCCUUUUGAGAGGGAUCGAGGAAGGACGGUACCUCUCGAAUCAAGUGACCGGCUAACUACGUGCCAGCAGCCGCGGUAAUACGUAGGUCACAGAGCGUUAUUCCGGGAUUUAACUGGGCGUAAAGGCGGUGUGGCAGGGCUGUUAGGUAAGUGGGUGUAUGAAAGCGCUCGGCUUAACCCGGGCGAGGUUAUGCCCAGACUGCCUAGCUAGAGGCAGCAAGAGGGACAUGGAAUUUCCGGGUGUAGUGGUGAAAUGCGUAGAUAUCCGGAGGAACUCCAGAGGCGAAGGCGAUGUCCUGGUGCUGACCUGACGCUCAGACACGAAAGCACGGGGAGCGAACGGGAUUAGAAACCCCGGUAGUCCGUGCCGUAAACGAUGCAGACUAGGCGUCGGCGGUCUCAACCCCGUCGGUGUCGUAGCUAACGCGUUAAGUCUGCCGCCUGGGGACUACGGUCGCAAAGAUUAAAACUCAAAGGAAUUGACGGGGGCCCGCACAAGCAGCGGAGCGUGUGGUUUAAUUCGAGGCUACACGAAGAACCUUACCCGGGUUUGACAUGCUAGAUGCAGUGGCGUGAAAGCGUCGCGACCUUCGAGAGCUCUGCACAGGUGCUGCAUGGCUGUCGUCAGCUUCGUGCCGUGAGAGUGUUUAAGGUUAAAUUCUGUAACGAGCGCAACCCUCGGGUCUAAUUACAAGGUGUCUAGACCAACUGCCCGCGUUGAGCAGGGAGGAAGGUGGGGAUGACGUCAAGUCAGCAUGGCCUUUAUGUCCGGGGCUACACACACGCUACAAUGGUCGGUACAAUGGGUCGCCAAGCGGUAACGCGGAGCCAAUCCAGUGAAAGCCGAUCCCAGUUCGGAUUGUGGGCUGCAACCCGCCCACAUGAAGUUGGAGUUGCUAGUAAACGCCGGUCAGCUAUACAGCGGUGAAUACGUUCCCGGGCCUUGUACACACCGCCCGUCACGUCAUGGGAGCUGGUCACGCCUGAAACCGGUGGGCUAACCGCAAGGAGGCAGCCGUCUAGGGCAGGGCUGGUGACUAGGACGAAGUCGUAACAAGGUA
rnacentral:rRNA from 1 species